GUGUUGGGCUACACACGUGCUACAAUGGUAUCUACAACAGGAAGCAAGACUGCGAAGUUAAGCAAAUCCCUAAAAGAUACCUCAGUUCGGAUUGCACUCUGCAACUCGAGUGCAUGAAGCUGGAAUUACUAGUAAUCGUGGAUCAGCGUGCCACGGUGAAUGCGUUCCCGGGUCUUGUACACACCGCCCGUCACACCAUGGGAGUUGGUUCUACCUUAAGGCAAGGUUUCAAACCCUUGACCACGGUAUAGUCAGCGACUGGGGUGAAGUC
rnacentral:rRNA from 1 species